AUGAAAAGCGGAUUUCGAUUAGUGAAUGGAUGCUAUCCUGACCUGGCAAGAGAUCCUGAUCAUUACGAGAUGCUAAUUUUAAACCUCCAAUGCCUUAGAGCAGCAAAUCCAUCAACCCCGGACAAGAAAAUCAAACAAAGUAGUGGCCAGGCUCAAGAAUGUGAAAGUCAAGUUCUAGUACGGCUAUCGCGAUGUGGCCAAUGGAUAAUAAAUAACUUGCUAACCCAACCCAGCAAUCAAACAGAUGCUAGCAACGGCUUUCGCGCUAGAAAACCAAGCCUUGGAUCUCCACAUAGAAGACAAUUCAUUCCAAUACCAAUGAAGCUAAGGCAAUAA
rnacentral:rRNA from 1 species